CCUUCUCAGAAGCCACAGUGUGCAGAGCUCCAAGGCUCUCGUCAGUUGUCUGCUCCCCAGCUCACAAAGGGAAGGUUCCAUCUCUGCAGCCCUCGAUUGCGGAAUUAAUUCACUAACACACCACCAUGACAGCAUGAAUAAAACAUACCCGCCGGUAACAAAGACGAAGUGAAAUGUUUUCAGCGAGAAACGGCAGCAGUGUGGGAGGAAGCAGGAAAUAAAUCAGGUGCACAAACCCACAGGCCACACAGAGGUGGCCACAUGGGGAGGAUUACUGCAGCUCUCAGAACUCAUCAGAGAAGAUUCUUUGUGCAGUGGACAACACCUAAGGCAGACUCAACUAAAGUACAAUAAGUGUCACUGGAACUCUCAACCGGAAAUGGGACAUCUACAUCACGCCCCCUCCCCUUGAGGCUCACAGACCUUCGUAGAAGAGGGCAUGGAAAGACUGUAAGAGAUAGAGUUUGAGGGCUGGAGAGAUGGCUCAGCGGUUAAGAGCACUGACUGCUCUUCCAGAGGUCCUGAAUUCAAUUGCCAGCAACCACAACCACAUGGUGGUUCACAACCAUCUGUAAUGGGAUCCAAUGCCCUCUUCUGGUGUGUCUGAAGACAGCUACAGUGUACUUACAUACAUAAAAUAAAUUGAGAUUUUUUUUUAUUGAUUGAGAAGGGCCAGAGUAAAACAGCGUCUUCAAGACAUAACAGGACAGGACUGCUGCACUCAUGAAGUCAUCAUAUCUGUGGCUGCCUGCACAAGACCUACACAACAAGAUCAAGCCAGUCACCAUUCCAGGAUGGAGGGACAAGAGACUGGAGCUCCCACCACAGCUAAGGAGUCACUGACAGUUGAGAGGCCACCCAGCUCCAGAAAUGUUUUCAUCUUAUAUAAGUGAUACCCUGCACUCAUGAAGUGACAGUUUCCAGUUCCCUCUGCCAGGCCAUGGCAACCACCCACAAUUCUGCCUUCUGUCUUUGUGAAUCUGAGAGUUCCAGUCAUCUCUGAGCAUCUGUCUUUUGGAGAUUGCAGAGCUUUGAGUCCACCCAGACAGGUAGUGUCCAACAAAGCAGUUCACCUCGUGGUAUCCAUCUAAGAGAAAGAGAGUACCACACUGCACGCCUUCUCCUCUCUCUCUCUCUCUCCUGCCCCAUCUAAGUCUCACCCUGGCCUAUUGGGGCGGGUCCUGUGUCCCAGAAGUGUCCCCCAUCAAAUGGCUAAACUAGAAUAACCAUUGGAGGUCCCUCACACGUGUCAUCCCAGCACUCAGGAAGCAGAGGCAGGUGGAUCUCUGUAAAUCCAAAGCCAGCCUGGUCUACACAGCCAGUUCUGGGCCAGCCAGGGCUACUGUUAGGACCUUGUUGCAAAAACAAACAAAACCAGAAGAAAAUCAAUGAGUUGGAUCCAGGAGAGCAUUGCCAUUUUGAUUAUAUAAAUGGUAUCCUCUUAAUCUGGUUAUCUUUAAAGCUGAGCACUUGCAAGUGAACUUGACCUCUGUACUAAGAUCUGGAAGGGCUGUGCCCAGCAAACCUGAAGAGGCAGCACUGCAAAGGAGCCUCUGCUGAGAAGACUGAAGCUUCACGGCCUGGUACUGUGGGGACUGGAUCUUAAAAUAGUCCUUCACUCAAGGUGCACUAGGACUGGAGAGAGAUAGCCCCUAGCCAGGGGUGUCUCGUACUGGAAAAAGUCGUGGCAGGCAUGGCAAGGCAAAAACUGGAUGCGUAGAACACCCUCUCUAUAUAUAUAUUCUUCUCCAGGAGCAGCUGUCAAAACAAUUUAGGGGCAAGAUUGACAGCUCAUUAGAAUCCCCUCAGCCGAGUGGAAUUCAGACUACUUUCCAGCAGACAGAGCGAAAGAGAGGAAGCAGCCGCCCUGGGCCAGGAGGCUCAAGCUUCCAGACGUAGUUAACAUUAACAUAGGCAUGACGAUGGACGGGGUCAGUGUUCACAGUGGGCUUGUCAUCACAAGUCACAGAUCCUCAACUGCUUCUUAUAAUUGACUGUGAUGAAAUAUUACAAUUGUCCUCACAGGAGGACAAACAAACAUUUUCGCAGCAAAGUUGUCUUUUGUGUGAGAUUUACAAAUAGUGCUUAAAUGUAAAAUGGAUUCCUGCGUAUGCUCAUAAAAGAUUUAUUUUAGCCU